AGUAUUUGCCGAAUGGUUAAGCUGUUCGCUUUGUGAGCGUAUGAUCAUGGGUGCGAUUCCCAUAUGCU
rnacentral:tRNA from 1 species